GGGGAAUCUUCCGCAAUGGACGAAAGUCUGACGGAGCAACGCCGCGUGAGUGAUGACGGCCUUCGGGUUGUAAAGCUCUGUUAAUCGGGACGAAUGGUUCUUGUGCGAAUAGUGCGAGGAUUUGACGGUACCGGAAUAGAAAGCCACGGCUAACUACGUGCCAGCAGCCGCGGUAAUACGUAGGUGGCAAGCGUUGUCCGGAAUUAUUGGGCGUAAAGCGCGCGCAGGCGGAUUGGUCAGUCUGUCUUAAAAGUUCGGGGCUUAACCCCGUGAUGGGAUGGAAACUGCCAAUCUAGAGUAUCGGAGAGGAAAGUGGAAUUCCUAGUGUAGCGGUGAAAUGCGUAGAUAUUAGGAAGAACACCAGUGGCGAAGGCGACUUUCUGGACGAAAGCUGACGCUGAGGCGCGAAAGCCAGGGGAGCGAACGGGAUUAGAUACCCCGGUAGUCCUGGCCGUAAACGAUGGGUACUAGGUGUAGGAGGUAUCGACCCCUUCUGUGCCGGAGUUAACGCAAUAAGUACCCCGCCUGGGGAGUACGACCGCAAGGUUG
rnacentral:rRNA from 1 species